GUUACCUACGGGACGCAGCAGUGGGGAAUACUGCGCAAUGGGGGAAACCCUGACGCAGCAACGCCGCGUGAGUGAGGAAGUAUUUCGGUAUGUAAAGCUCUAUCAGCAGGGAAGAAAAAUGACGGUACCUGAGUAAGAAGCACCGGCUAAAUACGUGCCAGCAGCCGCGGUAAUACGUAUGGUGCAAGCGUUAUCCAGAUUUACUGGGUGUAAAGGGAGCGCAGGCGGUGCGGCAAGUCUGAUGUGAAAGCCCGGGGCUCAACCCCGGGACUGCAUUGGAAACUACCGAACUAGAGUGUCGGAGA
rnacentral:rRNA from 1 species